AACGAACGCUGGCGGCAGGCCUAACACAUGCAAGUCGAGCGGACCUUUCGGGGUCAGCGGCGGACGGGUGAGUAACGCGUGGGAAUAUGCCCUUCUCUACGGAAUAGUCCUGGGAAACUGGGGGUAAUACCGUAUACGCCCUUUGGGGGAAAGAUUUAUCGGGGAAGGAUUAGCCCGCGUUGGAUUAGGUAGUUGGUGGGGUAAUGGCCUACCAAGCCGACGAUCCAUAGCUGGUUUGAGAGGAUGAUCAGCCACACUGGGACUGAGACACGGCCCAGACUCCUACGGGAGGCAGCAUUGGGGAAUCUUAGACAAUGGGGGCAACCCUGAUCUAGCCAUGCCGCGUGAGUGAUGAAGGCCUUAGGGUUGUAAAGCUCUUUCAGCUGGGAAGAUAAUGACGGUACCAGCAGAAGAAGCCCCGGCUAACUCCGUG
rnacentral:rRNA from 1 species